rnacentral:lncRNA from 1 species
GACCCAAACUACAUAGAAAGGUACAGGAGACUGAACCCAUUUACUUUUGCAAGAGAAUCCUCUUUUGAAGAUGUCCAGUACUGGUUGGCAGAGACGGAGAAGGUCUUCAAGACCCUAGGGGGUGACUCCUGAGCAGAGGGUCACCCUUGCUACCUACAUGCUGAUGGGAGAAGCAGACCGCUGGUGGGAACUCAAGCAGACCACCCUGCCUAUUCUAGUUACUUGGGAACAGUUCCCA